rnacentral:rRNA from 1 species
AUGGGGUGCAGCAGGCGCGAAACCUCCACAAUGCGCGAAAGCGUGAUGGGGUUACCCCGAGUGCCGUCCGUUGAGGAGGGCUUUUCCUCAGUGUAAGGAGCUGGGGGAAUAAAGGGGGGGCAAGACUGGUGUCAGCCGCCGCGGUAAUACCAGCCCCCUGAGUUAUAGGGACGAUUAUUUAGCCUAAAGCGUUCGUAGCCGGCUUAACAAGUCUUUCGUUAAAUCUAACGACUCAAUCGUUAGGCCGCGGAAGAUACUGCUAGGCUUGAGGGCGGGAGAGGUCGACGGUAUUCCCGGGGUAGGGGUGAAAUCCAAUAAUCCCGGGAGGACCACCAGUGGCGAAGGCGGUCGACCAGAACGCGCCUGACGGUGAUGGACGAAAGCUGGGGGAGCAAACCGGAUUAGACACCCGGGUAGUCCCAGCUGUAAACGAUGCGAGCUAGGUGUUGGGGUAGCUACGAGCUGCUCCAGUGCCGCAGAGAAGUCGUUAAGCUCGCCGCUUGGGGAGUACGGCCGCAAGGUUGAAACUUAAAGGAAUUGGCGGGGGAGCAC